GACGAACGCUGGCGGCGUGCUUAACACAUGCAAGUCGAACGGAAAGGCCCUGCUUUUGUGGGGUGCUCGAGUGGCUAACGGUUGAGUAACACGUGAGUAACCUGCCCUUGACUUUGGGAUAACUUCAGGAAACUGGGGCUAAUACCGGAUAGUAGCUCCUGCUGCAUGGUGUGGGUUGGAAAGUUUCGGCGGUUUGGGAUGGACUCGCGGCUUAUCAGCUUGUUGGUGGGGUAGUUGCUUACCAAGGCUUUGACGGGUAGCCGGCCUGAGAGGGUGACCGGCCACAUUGGGACUGAGAUACGGCCCAGACUCCUACGGGAGGCAGCAGUGGGGAAUAUUGCACAAUGGGCGGAAGCCUGAUGCAGCAACGCCGCGUGCGGGAUGACGGCCUUCGGGUUGUAAACCGCUUUCGCCUGUGACGAAGCGUGAGUGACGGUAAUGGGUAAAGAAGCACCGGCUAACUACGUG
rnacentral:rRNA from 1 species